GAUGAAGAACGCAGCGAAAUGCGAUAAGUAGUGUGAAUUGCAGAAUUCAGUGAAUCAUCGAAUCUUUGAACGCACAUUGCGCCCCUUGGUAUUCCAUGGGGCAUGCCUGUUCGAGCGUCAUUUGUACCUUCAAGCCUUGCUUGGUGUUGGGUGUUUGUCUCGCCUCUGCGCGCAGACUCGCCUCAAAACAAUUGGCAGCCGGCGUAUUGAUUUCGGAGCGCAGUACAUCUCGCGCUUUGCACUCAGAACGACGACGUCCAAAAGUACAUUUUUACACUCUUGACCUCGGAUCAGGUAGGAAGACCCGCUGAACUUAAGCAUAUCAAUAAGCGGAGGA
rnacentral:misc_RNA from 1 species